CGACUACUACCAUCUCGUGUGAUCAAAUCUUGGAUGUGAUGAAUGGAGAUGCCCCAAACAACAUAACAAAAGUCGAAAACCUCACCUCCGGAAGGGAUCCGUAGGGGGAAUCAACAAAAGAACACCACUACUUCAUAGCCUCGAUCAACAAAAGGGCUCUUUUUUAUUCCCUGAUUCGAUUUGAUUUCGCUGCCGAUGACAACUGAUCUAAAUAUCUCCAGCGGCUGGUGGUAGCCGUGCUUGUGCUGCUAAUAGAUAUCCUCGUGGGAUUUACUCCAUACGUGGAAUAUUUUUGUUGUUGUUGUUGUUGUUGUUGUUGUUGUUGUUUUCACCACGUGUGCUGCUUGAAAU
rnacentral:lncRNA from 1 species